GGCACAGUGGUCAAAACCCUGCUUGGGACGCUGGAAUCCCAUAUCAGAGUGCCUGGGCUCAAGUCCCAGCUCUGCCU
rnacentral:tRNA from 1 species